AGUACAACUGCAUGCUGAAAUAGGAGACUGCUAGACAGACCACACUGGCACCUGAGGCACCCACGAGGAAGAGGACAAAAAUCAAGUUUCCACAUUUGAAAGUGAACCUGCCAGCCCCAAGAACGUGCCAAAUCCAGUCGGCUGCGAUGCACAGCCUCAGCACCAGGUGUGAGGACGUGCUUAAUGAACACCACUUAAUGAAGAAAAAGGCUCUGAGAAAACACCUGGUGCGAGCAGGGUGCGGGAGUCACAGUGACGGGCCUUCCCUGCACCUGCUGGCAUUUUAAUCAGCACCUUUUGGAGUAUCCCCACUACAAGCUGGUCACGGUGUCAGAAGAAGGUCCCUGGCCAGUGACUACACUCGCUGACAGUCUGGGGACCCUUGCUUCUUAAGGACCAUAUGCUCAGGGGCCGGCUCCCCCUGAAGUUAAUUAAAAUGCAUCAUUUCAGUUGCAAGGAUCUGGCCUGCAUGAGACCCCUCUCAGACCUCUCAGAAUGGCUCCUGCUUCCAGGUCCUCGGAGGCCCUACCCUGGGACUGAGCUCUGAAGUGUCCCAGUGAAGCCAGAGGCUCCUCAUUCUUGGAUCCCGGUCCUGGGAAACAGAAUGGCCGCAUUUCAGCAGCUACGGGCCCUGACUUGUUUUCUGUUGUGCUUUUUCUUCUCUUACUGCUCUUGAAGGCCAUUCCCAGUCGCCGCCACUGUCGUUUUUCAUAGUCUGAUGUGACAUUUUUCCACACCAGCAAAGGUCUCCUGCUAAGCACUGUGCUAUGCGCUGAGAUGGUUUAGGAAGCCAGAGUGAAGUUCUCCCAGCAGGAGUUUACCGGCCACAAACUGAAACACUCAUAAAUCUAUCACAAAGCGAAAAAUCUCUAAAAUCCAAAGACUAGAGGAGUAUAAGGUUUCAGACUUUGGUUUUAAAAUAAUAGGGGGUUGGGGACAACAGCCAACACCUGUUGACAGUCUCCUGCAAGGCCUCACCUGGGAAGGGGAGAAAUGGCUCAGGCAACAAAAACAGCUAUUCCUGGGUCAAAGUGACAACCCCAAAAAUGCCACAGACACAAGCAAUGCCUGGUGGAGAGAGCUGGAAGACAGCGUGGACUCAGUGGAAAAGGGCUUUCUGGGGAAGGGAUGCCAGAGGUCUUGUCCCUGUCGGCUCCUGGGAGUAGGAUGGUUUCCACUAUUUAAAUGCCCCACAACCAUCUCUAAACAACCCAGUAGGGUUCACAGUGUUCUACGGACGGGGACACAGUGGCUCAGAGGGUGUUGCCCAAGGUCACAGAGCUAAAGAAAAUGGCUGGACUGCCAAUGAAACCAUGCUCUUUCUACGACAACAUGUUACCCAAGGAACUGCACAAACACAAAAGUGUUCACUUCUGUCCAAGCCACCCAUUUGAUCAAUACGACGCCAGCCUACCAGCCUAUAUGAUGAGUUUCCCUCAUGGGCCAUCCCCAGCCCUCACAGAGCAUAAUGCACUAGACAAGCCAAAAAAACCAAAACAAAAUCUGUCAUAGGAAGUCUAAGGAAUCUCAACUCCCCGAGUUCCCGCGGCGCAGCUUUAAAGUGCGCGCAGCUCGACGGCAUAUGGCAAAUCAAUUACUAGUUUAAAUCUUAAAACAAAAACAUGGCAAAUGCAGCACGGAAAUAAUCAGGUACAAUGGUGCAGCUCGGAUUACAGCGGCCACUGGAGUUUUGAAUACAAUUAAUCAUCGUUCCAGGCAAUGGGAAGCCAUAUUGACACUUAUUCCUAAUUUGAAUAUUUAAUUAGGGUGAAGUUCUUCAUCAAAUUAUCGUAGAACUGGGAGAAAGCCUGGAAGACUUACACAAUUACCACCUUAACCCCUUCCCAGCUGCUCCCUGCCCAAGAACACUCUGGCUCUGCAGGGAGGAGGACCGCCUGCUCUGUUCUGCCCUGAUUCUGUUGGGGGUGGGGGUGGAGGUGGGGGUGGGGGGUGUAUGGAAGAGUUAAGAUUGAGAGGAGAAAGCCAAAGAGCCCAGCAUGUGACCCAGGCCUGCAGUGACUUGAGAUGGAGAUCCAGAUGAGCCCUGGAGAAGAGCUGCAUGCUGGGUGUUGGAUGCCGAUGGAGCACCAGGUACAACAGGUCUACCCUACCCCCACUCAACCCUCCCCAGGAACUGCUUAGAGAAGGAGAAACAGGCUUGGAGGAGUGCUGAGACUUGCCCCAAGUCAGCCCAGUUACUCAUCACCCAGCAGCUCCCUCAGCCAGUGGCUGGUUCAUCAGCUAAUCAACACGGACUCUCAGCCCACUUGUGAGACUUUGUGAUCCCUGCUGCAGCCUCUUGGGCAUAUAUUCACUCUGUAACCAUGUCCAUGUAAAAGAUAUGUAGACUUCUAUGUGUGCUGUGUGAUAUGAGAGUUAACAUUAGUAAUUAAGAUAGGAAUGAGAGAGCUUGCAUUUGCCUUGGUCAAGCUACUACGGAAGGUGGGUUUAUGACAAAUUGCCGUCAUCAGAACUGCUCAGUAAAUUCUGACAUUGUGAGAAGUUACAA
rnacentral:lncRNA from 1 species